AAAAGGUGGAGGAGGAGGACUGUUAGAAAAGGUGGAGGAGAGGACUGUUUGAAAAGGUGGAGGAGAGGACUGUUUGAAAAGGUGGAGGAGGACUGUUUGAAAAGGUGGAGGAGGGAACUGUUUGAAAAGGUGGAGGAGGACUGUUUGAAAAGGUGGAGGAGGG